UGAAACACAUAUUUUUUUUUCCUACCCCUUUCCAAACAAUGAGAUUACUAAGAGACAGGGCCAGUUCCAACCACAGCUGCACCCACAUCCAUGAAGGGGGGACCAGAUGGUGAAGGAUGGGGAUGUUUGGACCAGAUCUGAGAUCCCAAAAAAGCUUUUCAGGAGAUGCUGGAUCCAGGAUAUGAACCUGGGUCUUCCAGUCUGGCAUUCCAAUGCUUUAUCACUCAGCCAUCCACUGCAAAUAUUUAGAUCUAUCAUACAUCAAUUCCUUGAAAUGCCCAAGAUCAGUUUGCCCACAAAUAGCAAUUGAUGAGGCCACAACAGCUUUCAUUCUUGUGUAAUAACAAUAGAUGAUCUUCAAGAC
rnacentral:lncRNA from 1 species